AGUGAACGCUGGCGGUAGGCCUAACACAUGCAAGUCGAACGGCAGCACAGUAAGAGCUUGCUCUUACGGGUGGCGAGUGGCGGACGGGUGAGGAAUACAUCGGAAUCUACUUUUUCGUGGGGGACAACGUAGGGAAACUUACGCUAAUACCGCAUACGACCUACGGGUGAAAGCAGGGGAUCAUCGGACCUUGCGCGACUGAAUGAGCCGAUGCCGGAUUAGCUAGUUGGCGGGGUAAAGGCCCACCAAGGCGACGAUCCGUAGCUGGUCUGAGAGGAUGAUCAGCCACACUGGAACUGAGACACGGUCCAGACUCCUACGGGAGGCAGCAGUGGGGAAUAUUGGACAAUGGGCGCAAGCCUGAUCCAGCCAUGCCGCGUGAGUGAAGAAGGUCUUCGGGUUGUAAAGCCCUUUUGUUAGGAAAGAAAAGCAGCAGGUUAAUCCCCCGCUGUUCUGACGGUACCCAAAGAGUAAGCACCGGCUAACUUCGUG
rnacentral:rRNA from 1 species